rnacentral:rRNA from 1 species
UUGGAAACUGAUUUACUUGAGUGCGAUAGAGGCAAGUGGAACUCCAUGUGUAGCGGUGAAAUGCGUAGAUAUGUGGAAGAACACCAGUGGCGAAAGCGGCUUGCUGGAUCGUAACUGACGUUGAGGCUCGAAAGUAUGGGUAGCAAACGGGAUUAGAUACCCCGGUAGUCCAUACCGUAAACGAUGGGUGCUAGGUGUUAAGAGGUUUCCGCCUCCUAGUGACGUAGCAAACGCAUUAAGCACCCCGCCUGAGGAGUACGGCCGCAAGGCUAAAACUUAAAGGAAUUGACGGGGACCCGCACAAGCGG